rnacentral:rRNA from 1 species
UAGAGUUUGAUCAUGGCUCAGGAUGAACGCUAGCGACAGGCUUAACACAUGCAAGUCGAGGGGCAGCGGGGCGGCAGGCUUGCCUGCCGUUGCCGGCGACCGGCGCACGGGUGAGUAACACGUAUGCAACCUGCCCGUGGCAGGGGGAUAAGCGGGGGAAACCCCGUCUAAUACCGCGUAACGCGGCCUAGGGACAUCCCAAGGCCGCCAAAGGGAGCAAUCCCGGCCACGGAUGGGCAUGCGGCGCAUUAGCUAGUCGGCGGGGUAACGGCCCACCGAGGCGACGAUGCGUAGGGGUUCUGAGAGGAAGGUCCCCCACACUGGUACUGAGACACGGACCAGACUCCUACGGGAGGCAGCAGUGAGGAAUAUUGGUCAAUGGGCGCGAGCCUGAACCAGCCAAGUCGCGUGAGGGAAGACGGUCCUAUGGAUUGUAAACCUCUUUUGUCGGGGAGCAAAAGACGCCACGUGUGGCGUUCCGAGAGUACCCGAAGAAAAAGCAUCGGCUAACUCCGUGCCAGCAGCCGCGGUAAUACGGAGGAUGCGAGCGUUAUCCGGAUUUAUUGGGUUUAAAGGGUGCGCAGGCGGAAGAUCAAGUCAGCGGUAAAAUUGAGAGGCUCAACCUCUUCGAGCCGUUGAAACUGGUUUUCUUGAGUGAGCGAGAAGUAUGCGGAAUGCGUGGUGUAGCGGUGAAAUGCAUAGAUAUCACGCAGAACUCCGAUUGCGAAGGCAGCAUACCGGCGCUCAACUGACGCUCAUGCACGAAAGUGUGGGUAUCGAACAGGAUUAGAUACCCUGGUAGUCCACACAGUAAACGAUGAAUACUAAUUGUUCGGGGAGAAUGAUCCCUGAGUGAUACAGCGAAAGCGUUAAGUAUUCCACCUGGGGAGUACGCCGGCAACGGUGAAACUCAAAGGAAUUGACGGGGGCCCGCACAAGCGGAGGAACAUGUGGUUUAAUUCGAUGAUACGCGAGGAACCUUACCCGGGCUCAAACGACACAGGAAUACUUUUGAAAGGAGGUAGCUCUACGGAGUCUGUGUCGAGGUGCUGCAUGGUUGUCGUCAGCUCGUGCCGUGAGGUGUCGGCUUAAGUGCCAUAACGAGCGCAACCCCCAUCGCCAGUUACCAGCAAGUCAAGUUGGGGACUCUGGCGAGACUGCCGGCGCAAGCUGUGAGGAAGGCGGGGAUGACGUCAAAUCAGCACGGCCCUUACGUCCGGGGCGACACACGUGUUACAAUGGCAGGUACAGAGAGAAGCAAUGCGGCGACGCAAAGCGGAACUUGAAAGCCUGUCUCAGUUCGGAUUGGAGUCUGCAACUCGACUCCAUGAAGCUGGAUUCGCUAGUAAUCGCGCAUCAGCCAUGGCGCGGUGAAUACGUUCCCGGGCCUUGUACACACCGCCCGUCAAGCCAUGGAAGCCGGGAGUGCCUGAAGUGAGCAACCGCAAGGAGCGCCCUAAGGUAAAACUGGUGACUGGGGCUAAGUCGUAACAAGGUAACCGUA